rnacentral:sRNA from 1 species
ACUUUGCCACAGGGAGGCACUGAACUGAAAAACUGCCUUGUAACAGGUGUCGCCCCUCUGUCUACUCCCUUUCUUAUAUCAAGAGGGGAAAAACACGUAACUACCUCUACCCGAUCUGGUCACCAUACGCCUAUUACCUUUACUGUUACAAGUACCGGAUCACCCUCCGGGAGAAGAUGCUGCCUCGUUGUUAUAAAAGCAUCACUUAUAAGGAAAAGGAGGACUUGACACUCCAGCCCCGUUCCUGCCUCCAGUGCUCCUGAGUCCCUAGUAGGCCUCCAGGAGGGCAAAAGCACCGAGCAGGGUAACCACGACCAGCUUAAAGAACUGUAUUCGGUAAGUGGACUGUGAGCUGGUGCUGUGACAGGGCAACCUUUUCUUGCAUACCUUGCAGAGGAGGGACAUUAGCAAGUUGGAAGAUGAAUUAUAGAGGUAGAUGGAAUCUUGGAACACGUGUAAAAGCUACUUGUUAUAUAGACAAGGAUUCUGGCCGACUGUAAAAUCAAGGUCAUACAGAUGGUAGUGAAAAUCAGGAUGGGA